UAGGCCCCGCCCACAGAGGAGGGUACCCCGCCGGAAGCCCCCUGCUCUGUGGGAACCGGAGGGAGGACAGCGCGAGGUCCCCGGACAAAGCGUGGCGCAUAAGUCCGGCCCGUAACUUGGUGGGCAGGCAACUUAGGGGAUGUGGGCCUGGUUAUAGCUGAGCAUGCUUUUCUAUUCCUCCCAGACCACAGUUCUUCAGACCUGGAGCCACUUUCAGAGAAGAGUAUAAGUUGCACUGAAUUGAAAAAGGGAAAAGUUUAGGACUGCAGAAGAUGGAAUUCCUGGGGACGUUAAACUGGGCUAAGAUGGAGCAGAUAAGAUUUCCUUAAUUAGAGCAAGACACACCUAGUAUCUAGAGCCUGGAAGUCUUGGUCAAGGAUUCUCCCUAACAUCUCAGUUUCUCAGCACUAACAUUCCUGCUACUAAAAUGAAGUGAGAAAUUAAUUUCUGAAGUUAAGUAAAGAAAUAAACUAAAAUUCCUAGAAAAGAGGUAAGAAGAAUGAGCCUUUGAAAAAUGUCUUCACAAAGACUGGCAUGAUGGCAUGGAAGAAAGAGCCCCAGGUAUCCAGUAUACAUCUCAAGGUCAACUUGUCCAAAACAGAGCUACUGAUGAUUUUCCCCUUGAAAUCUACUCUUCCUACAGCUUAUUCAUCUCAAAUAGCUCCCUCUCUUGCCAAGCCUGGACUGUACUGCCAUGAUCUCAGCUCGCUGCAACCUCCCUGCCUCGAGUUCUGGUGAUUCUCCUGCCUCGGCCUGACAUUCCAGGCAGGCGCCGCCACUCCUGACUGGUUUUUGUAUUUUUGGUGGAGACGGGGUUUCACCGUGUUGACCGGGCUGGUCUCCAGCUCCUGGCCUCGGGUGAUCUGCCCACCUCGGCCUCCCGAGGUGCUGGGAUUGCAGACGGAGUCUCGCUCACUCAAUGCUCAAUGUUGCCCAGGCUGGAGUGCAGUGGCGUGAUCUCAGCUUGCUACAACCUCCACCUCCCAGCCGCCUGCCUUGGCCUCCCAAAGUGCUAAGAUUACAGCCUCUGCCCACCCGCCACCCCGUCUAGGAAGUGAGCAGCGUCUCUGCCUGGCCGCCCAUCGUCUGGGAUGUGAGGAGCACCUUUGCCCGGCCGCCCCGUCUGGGAAGUGAGGAGCGCCUCUGCCCGGCCACCCCGUCUGGGAGGUGAGGAGCAUCUCUGCCCGGCCACCCCGUCUGGGAGGUGAGGAGCGCCUCUGCCCGGCUGCCCAGUCUGGGAAGUGAGGAGCGCCCCUGCCCACCCGCCCAUUGUCUGGGAAGUGAGGAGCACCUCUGCCCAGUCGCCCCGUCUGGGAAGUGAGGAGCGCCUCUGCCCGGCCGCCCCGUCUGGGAUGUGAGGAGCGCCUCUGCCCGGCCGCCCCGUCUGGGAUGUGAGGAGCGCCUCUGCCCAGCCGCCACCCCAUCUGGGAAGUGGGGAGCGCCUCUGCCCGGCCGCCCCAUCUGGGAUGUGAGGAGCGCCUCUGCCUGGCCUCCCCGUCUGGGAGGUGGGGAGCGCCUCUGCCCAGCCGCCCCGUCUGGGAGGUGAGGAGCAUCUCUACCUGGCUGCUCAUCAUCUGGGAUGUGAGGAGCACCUCUGCCCGGCCGCCCCAUCUGGGAAGUGAGGAGCGCCUCUGCCCAGCCACCCUUCGUCUGGGAGGUGAGGAGCGUCUCUGCCUGGCCGCCCAUUGUCUGGGAUGUGAGGAGCGCCUCUGCCCGGCCGCCCCCUCUGGGAAGUGAGGAGUGCCUCUGCCUGGCCGCCCCAUCUGGGAGGUGUACCCAACAGCUCCGAAGAGACAGCGACCAUUGAGAACGGGCCAUGAUGACGAUGGUGGUUUUGUUGAAAAAUAAAGGGGGAAAUGUGGGGAAAAGAAAGAGAGAUCAGAUUGUUACUGUGUCUGUGUAGAAAGAAGUAGACAUAGGAGACUCCAUUUUGUUCUGUACUAAGAAAAAUUCUUCUGCCUUGGGAUGCUGUUAAUCUAUAACCUUACCCCCAACCCCGUGCUCUCUGAAACAUGUGCUGUGUCAACUCAGGGUUAAAUGGAUUAAGGGUGGUGCAAGAUGUGCUUUGUUAAACAGAUGCUUGAAGGCAGCAUGCUCCUUAAGAGUCAUCACCACUCCCUAAUCUCAAGUACCCAGGGACACAAACACUGCGGAAGGCCGCAGGGUCCUCUGCCUAGGAAAACCAGAGACCUUUGUUCACGUGUUUAUCUGCUGACCUUCUCUCCACUAUUAUCCUAUGACCCUGCCACAUCCCCCUCGCCGAGAAACACCCAAGAAUGAUCAAUAAAUACUAAAAAAAAAAAAAAGUUAUUUCUUCUAAUCAAUAUUUCCAAGAGUUUCAACCUCUAAUUUUAAAUCUCUCAGUUUGAUUUCCUCUUUUACUGUCUUUCCUAAGGUGAUUAGCAUUUGUAAUUGCCAGAAGGAAUUAAGUCCCCCAAACCGUAACCUGAUGAAUCACAGAUAGUCAGGUCAAUCACCAGCCUUAUUAAAUAUUCACUUAAAAGUUUAAGUAGUUGUAUUUCAUCACCUAAAAGUUAUAAUUCUACAGUACAAAGGACUUUUUCUUAAAUUAACAUGAAUAACCAGUUAUGUGAUGAUAAAUAAACUUUUUAAGUAAGGAAUAAUCACUCAUUGGCCAAGACUCUACUAUUGUGAAAUCAUUAAAUGAAAAUGAUAAAAGCUUACAGUCAUCAAAUAAUUAACAUGUACCAAGCACUGUUCUACCUUUACAUGAAUCAACUUAUUUCAUUCUUAUAAAAAUUCUAUAGUGAACCUUUAUACUACUAUUGUAGUUUUAUGGACCUAGAAAUUGAGAUUAAGUAACUUGUUCAAGGUCAUAUAGUUUGUAAAUGGAGGAGCCAGAAUUCCAACCCAGGCCAUUUAACUUUGAGCCUGUGGCCUGGGAUGGAAUUCUGUUCUUAACCACUACAGUGUAGUGCCUUGGAAAUGUCACAUCCACACUUGUUUUGAAAUUGAGUUACUGAGGAAUUUACCACCUUGUGUUUGGCACCAAAAAUAUGCCUGAAAUGUUAAGAAAAUAGAAAGGUUUGUUUCAACAGCAAAAUUAUGCUGAAAUUAUCCUUCACUACACCUCCUCCUGCACACCUCUAUCUCCUGCCUGAAGCAAGUAUCCCGUCUCCAUCAGCACUCUUGCUCACUGAGCCCAGGCUGGGUCUCAGAAUCCUUCUCAGCACAACAUAUAAUAGUCAACAGUUGGCAUGCAAGAGGAAAUCUGCACACUAUGUCUAGCAGUACACUAAAAUGUGCAGUUUCGUAUAGCAUAUAUGAAGGUGUCAGUCUUUUCCCUUUCUUUUUGUAAUGUCUCUUAGGGAGACAUUGCAAGUUGGGAAGAGUUACUUUUACUUCCCUUACUGACAAUCCCAUUUCACAAUGUAAUGGUUUAGGUCAAAUUCUGUAGAAGUACCGCCUGAGACAGGAAAUAGCAUGCAUGUGGUUUAUUGAGGAAAUGCUUUCAGGAGACAGGGAGUAAGGAAAACUGAAUAAAGUAGAAGUUGCUAAGCAAGGAUAUUGUCUCAGAGUGUUACUUCAACCUGGUCAUACUGUAAAAGCAGGAGCACAAAUUGCCACAAAGAGUUGGUUUCUACUUGAGACAAACUAGCUGGCCCUUCUACCCCUACUUUGGAUGAAUCACUGGCAGUGAGUGCCCUCUUGGGGUGAGGGGUAAGUUUGGCCAGAGCAAAUCUCUAAAAGAGGGUGUAGCUUUAUGUCUUAGUGAAGCGGUGUCAUUGUCUGGAGUAAAUACCUGAGAUUUGUCAUCUCACACCAAGAAGAUUAAGGACAUGGACACACACAAGGAGUGACUUUAGGAGUGGAGGUUUAAUUGGCAAAGGAAAGAGAAAGGAGAACAGCUCUCUCUUUUGCGAGAGAGAGGGAUACCCCAAUGGGAAUUCUGGCCCAUGGCAGGGCGCACCAGAUUUUAUAGACAGGCUUGAGGAGGUGGUGUCUGAUUUACGUAGGGCCCACAGAUUGGUUAGACCAGGUGUGACAUUUACACAGUGCUUGGGGAAGGCUGGCCACUCCACCCUCAUCUUAUUAUGCAAAUGGGCCUUCCAUUUGGCCGGACACCAUGUUGUCUGCUCCUUACUGUACACGUGGCUGGCAAAGAGAAGGGAACAUGGAGCCACCAUU
rnacentral:lncRNA from 10 species